AAAUUGAAGAGUUUGAUCAUGGCUCAGAUUGAACGCUGGCGGCAGGCCUAACACAUGCAAGUCGAACGGUAACAGGAAGCAGCUUGCUGCUUCGCUGACGAGUGGCGGACGGGUGAGUAAUGUCUGGGAAACUGCCUGAUGGAGGGGGAUAACUACUGGAAACGGUGGCUAAUACCGCAUAACGUCGCAAGACCAAAGAGGGGGACCUUCGGGCCUCUUGCCAUCAGAUGUGCCCAGAUGGGAUUAGCUUGUUGGUGAGGUAAC
rnacentral:rRNA from 3 species